rnacentral:siRNA from 1 species
CAUGUGGUGUACCUCUCACGUCUC